GAAAUGCGAUACGUAAUGCGAAUUGCAGAAUUCAGUGAAUCAUCGAAUUUUUGAACGCAAAUUGCGCUCUCGGGAUAGGCCUGAGAGCAUGUUUCUUUGAGCAUCGUGUCUAAACCACAUCGGCUGCGUGCCGGAGAAUGAAAGUCCAGUGAUUUUUUCUCAACUGGUCUUUUUAAGCUUAUGAAUCCAACAGCACGAUCUGCCUUGCAAAGGUAUCGGCUGCAUUUAGGCGCGAUUAAACUCUUUUUUUCUCGUCUAUGUAAUCGAUCAUCUGAGCUUGUGUAGUCGAGUUGUUCCGGGUGAAACGGAAAAACAUUCUUGACUUAGAUCUCAAAUGAAGCAAGAGAACCCGCUGAACUUAA
rnacentral:misc_RNA from 1 species